rnacentral:rRNA from 1 species
UACGGAGGGUGCAAGCGUUGUUCGGAAUCAUUGGGCGUAAAGCGCGCGUAGGCGGCUUGGCAAGUCGGUUGUGAAAGCCCGGGGCCCAACCCCGGAAUUGCAUCUGAAACUGCCUCGCUAGAGUCCCGGAGAGGAAGGCAGAAUUCCCGGUGUAGGGGUGAAAUCCGUAGAUAUCGGGAGGAAUACCAGCGGCGAAGGCGGGCUUCUGGACGGUGACUGACACUGAGACGCGAAAGCGUGGGGAGCAAACAGG